GACGAACGCUGGCGGCGUGCUUAACGCAUGCAAGUCGAACGCUGAAGCUCAGCUUUUGUUGGGUGGAUGAGUGGCGAACGGGUGAGUAACACGUGAGUAACCUGCCUCCUUCUUUGGGAUAACGCCCGGAAACGGGUGCUAAUACUGGAUAUUCACUGGUCUUCGCAUGGGGGUUGGUGGAAAGGGUUCUUCUGGUGGGGGAUGGGCUCGCGGCCUAUCAGCUUGUUGGUGGGGUGAUGGCGUACCAAGGCUUUGACGGGUAGCCGGCCUGAGAGGGUGACCGGUCACAUUGGGACUGAGAUACGGCCCAGACUCAGACGGGGGGCAGAAGUGUGCAGGAUGGCGCAAUGGGGGAUAGCGUGAUGCAGCGGCGCGGCGUAAGGGGUGGAGGCCUUCGGGUUGUGAACCUCUUUCGCUCAUGGUCAAGCCGCAACAGUGAUUGUGGUGAGGGUAGUGGGUAAAGAAGCGCCGGCUAACUACGUG
rnacentral:rRNA from 1 species